UCUCCUUACCUGUUUCGGCAGCCUCCUGUCCUGGAGCGUUGGCUCUUCCUCUCUCCACUGCUGCUUCAGGCUUUGGGUGCAGUUGCCGGAUCCGUCCAGCAGGUGGCGUCUGAAGCUCCAGUUGCCAUGGGAACUGCGCUGCAGGUGAUGGACUCCUCUUUUCAAGCUGCUGUCUCUUCUAUGGUGCCGCCAGCAGUUCCUGGGGUGCCGUCAGGUGAGU